AUAUAUGAAACAAGGCAUGCUUGCACAAAAAGAGAAGAACCGUGGCGCGUUCUGCUUCUCCUUUUUUCCUUGGUACGAAGGGCUGCGAUCCUUGCUCUCGUAUGUUGCUCCCUGUCAUGCCUGGCGGCUGACCGAGUUGCUCUUGACGGAGGCCGAGAACCAGGGACUCCUCCGUCGCCGGUGCACGGGCCAACAGUGGACACUCCAGGUCCUGGAUUCCCUGUUCCUAGGAUUCCUCGGGCAUGUCCUUCAACCCCUAUUCAUGCGCCGCCGCCACCGUCACCGCCACCCAUUUAUGGGAACCCGGUGACUCCAACUCCUUCAGUGCCCAUUCCACCGCCGCCCAUUCUGGUGCCCGGGAACCCGCUGGUGACUCCAAUUCCUUCAGUCUCUACUCCUUACUGCCCCCCGUGCGGGUGCCGGUGAGCACGCCAUGUUAUUCAAUCCCUAUUCCAUGUGCCGCCAGUGCCGGAGAUGUCGGCACUGACACCAAACCGCAAGACACUGCAGCAUCUUGUUAAGAACAUCCGUUAAUUACGCAUGAAACACUUUUGCUCCUAUAUCUAUUGUGUGUUAUAUGUUACGUAUGAUCAAUGAUGUUGCUAGUUAAUUGAGGCUGUAAUAGUUGUACUAACAAAAAUAUGACAUUGCCUCGUUGUAAUCUUAUAAAUUCAGGUGUGAUUCAAUUUUUUGUGAAAUAUAUAUGGCAUCCCAGUAAGUCCAGUCCAAAAGCGUUUCACAUACUUUGUAUGUUUUAUUGUUUCUAGAAUGUAAACCGAUAACACCCUUACAUUUGGUUUUCAUUAGUUUUAGUUGUUUUUUACAUCUAUUUAUUUAUGUCUUUGCUUAACAAGAUUAAUGUGUCAUCCCUAUGUGAGAGAUGUUGCAGAUGCUUGUAGCAGCAGUUGCGGUGUGGCUACUUGCAAUACCUGGUGGCCAGACUACAAUAGUGUGCUUGCAGCAUACGUCGGCGGUGGUGACUGACGGCGUGCUUGCAGCUGUGGGCUUUGGUGUUCUUUUUUGGAGCACCUGUUCUCUUUGGUUGAUGAAAAAGAGAGGCGAGGGGAUAGAGAUGCGACCUAGAAGACACGGGGGCAUAUGGCAGAUAGCCAAGACAGUUAACGCUUACGUAUAAUCAGACACCCAAUUUUAAUCGUUUGGCGCUGUCAUCCCCAAAGGUGAAUCGGUCCAUUUCAAAAAAAAAAGUUGAAUCGGUCGGCUACUCGACUGUUCAUCUCAGUACCACAGAGGCCUCCCAAUAUUUUCCCUCUCAUCACUGUGGUCCGAUUGUCUCCAUCAGCCAAAUCCCAUGCGUGGAUCCGGCCACAACGGGGUUCUGCUGCACCGGAACAGCUUGUGUGACGGUGGCGUGGCGUGGCGUUCUUUCAUAUGUGUCGUUGGUGCUCCUAGAUGGGGACGGAGGAGGGGCGGUACGACAAUGCUCGCAGCCAGGUGGUGGCACGCCCAUGCUCCGGCCAUCAGUGGUCAGCGUGUUGUGUGUCGCCUCCUUCCAUGGUAUCGUGGACUCGAACGCACAGCUGGAGCUAGUCUCCGGCAGUUACUAUCGUCAGGAAGAAAUUUUUGUCCAAAUGCUGACCGAGGGUCGAUGACUUUGACCAUGGGAGUCGUCGUAGCUCUCCAUCAAAAGGAACCUUCCGCGCAGGAGCUAAGCAAGCAAGUGAACUUACAACCUUCUCUGCGCAUGUAUAUAUAAACUACUGAGGUUAUGCUCCUAACGGAAGGCAAACUGGCCGCUUGCACAAGUCUGUGGCACUCUUCAUCUCCUGCCAUGGCACGUUCCUUGGCAAUCCUUGUUAUCAUAUUUAUAUGCUGCUCCCUGCCAUGCUCAACGGCCACACAAGUUCAUCUGGAUGGAAGCCGUCCGAGUUUUGGUCCUCCGUCACCGCAGGGUGCGAACCCGCAUGGCUGUGUUGGUAGAUGCAAUAACGGGCGCCCAGACACCACAUCUCCGGCGACGGCAGCCCUCACCGCACCGCAAGACCCUGCAGCAGGCUAUUCUAGAUUGAUAUGUGUAUAUAUGACACAUGCAAGUGUUCCGCGAGAGUCUUGGAAAGUUUACCAUUGACUAUUGCCUACACUUUUUGUCAAUGGUGUCUGGAAAUGAUUACGAAGAUGGUGUAUGACAAUAAAUAAAUAUGAGGAUGGUUGUACUGCUUUUAUAUAUUAUAAUUGUGAACUCUAAUUAAUCAGUGUAUUGCAUGAA